UACAGAGGUCUCAAGCGUUGUUCGGAUUCAUUGGGCGUAAAGGGUGCGUAGGUGGCGCGCUAAGUCAGGUGUGAAAUUUCGGAGCUUAACUCCGAAACUGCAUUUGAUACUGGCGUGCUUGAGGACUGGAGAGGAGACUGGAAUUCACGGUGUAGCAGUGAAAUGCGUAGAGAUCGUGAGGAAGACCAGUGGCGAAGGCGGGUCUCUGGACAGUUCCUGACGCUGAGGCGCGAAGGCCAGGGGAGCAAACGGG
rnacentral:rRNA from 1 species